rnacentral:sRNA from 1 species
GCCGGGUGUGGUGGUACACACCUGUUGUCCCAGCUACUCAGGAGGCUGAGGCAGGAGGAUCAUUUGAGCCCAGGAGUUUGAGGCAACAAAGAAAGACCACAUCUUAA